rnacentral:rRNA from 1 species
AAAGCUCGUAGUUGUAUUUCUGGUACGAUGCGCCUGAUCCGCGACGUCUACGUCUGUGAGUAUCGGAGCGCGUCUGCCAUCCUUCUGGGGAAUGUCUCUACCCUUCACUGGGCCGGAUUCAUGAUCCAGAUCGUUUACUUUGAAAAAAUUAGAGUGUUCAAAGCAGGCUUUGCUGUGAAUACAUUAGCAUGGAAUAAUGAUCUAGGACUUCGGUUCUAUUUUGUUGGUUUCUAGCACUGAAGUAAUGAUUGAUAGGGAUAGUUGGGGGUGCUAGUAUUGGGCGGCCAGAGGUGAAAUUCUUGGAUUCGCUCAAGACUAACUUAUGCGAAAGCAUUCACCAAGGAUGUCUUCUUUAAUCAAGAACGAAAGUUGGGGGAUCGAAGAGGAUCAGAUACCCUCGUAGUCUCAACCAUAAACUAUGCCAACUAGGGAUCGGUGAACUGUUGCAUUUUCGACUUCAUCGGCACCUUAUGAGAAAUCAAAGUCUUUGGGUUCCGGGGGGAGUAUGGUCGCAAGGCUGAAACUUAAAGGAAUUGACGGAAGGGCACCACCAGGAGUGGAGCCUGCGGCUUAAUUUGACUCAA